rnacentral:rRNA from 1 species
UAGGGAAUCUUCGGCAAUGGGGGGAACCCUGACCGAGCAACGCCGCGUGAGUGAAGAAGGUUUUCGGAUCGUAAAACUCUGUUGUUAGAGAAGAACAGCGCAUAGAGUAACUGUUAUGCGUGUGACGGUAUCUAACCAGAAAGCCACGGCUAACUACGUGCCAGCAGCCGCGGUAAUACGUAGGUGGCAAGCGUUGUCCGGAUUUAUUGGGCGUAAAGCGAGCGCAGGCGGUUAGAUAAGUCUGAAGUUAAAGGCAGUGGCUCAACCAUUGUAGGCUUUGGAAACUGUUUAACUUGAGUGCAGAAGGGGAGAGUGGAAUUCCAUGUGUAGCGGUGAAAUGCGUAGAUAUAUGGAGGAACACCAGUGGCGAAGGCGACUCUCUGGUCUGUAACUGACGCUGAGGCUCGAAAGCGUGGGUAGCAAACAGG